CACGUAGGGGGCAAGCGUUGUCCGGAUUUACUGGGCGUAAAGAGCGUGUAGGCGGCCAAACAGGUCCGUUGUGAAAACUGGAGGCUCAACUUCCAGACGUCGACGGAAACCGUGUGGCUAGAGUCCGGAAGAGGAGAGUGGAAUUCCUGGUGUAGCGGUGAAAUGCGCAGAUAUCAGGAAGAACACCAAUGGCGAAGGCAGCUCUCUGGGACGGUACUGACGCUGAGACGCGAAAGCGUGGGGAGCGAACAGG
rnacentral:rRNA from 1 species